GCAAGUUGUUCUCAAGUCCAGUCCUCGAGGCCCACUGUCCUGCAUGUUUUGGAUGUUUCCCUGCUCCAAAACAUGCAGGAUAGUGGGCCUCGAGGACUGGACUUGAGAACUGAUCUAGAGU
rnacentral:miRNA from 1 species